AUUGAACGCUGGCGGCAGGCCUAACACAUGCAAGUCGAGCGGAUGAAGGUAGCUUGCUACCUGAUUCAGCGGCGGACGGGUGAGUAAUGCCUAGGAAUCUGCCUGGUAGUGGGGGACAACGUUUCGAAAGGAACGCUAAUACCGCAUACGUCCUACGGGAGAAAGUGGGGGAUCUUCGGACCUCACGCUAUCAGAUGAGCCUAGGUACGAUUAGCUAGUUGGUGAGGUAAAGGCUCACUAAGGCGACGAUCGUUAACUGGUCUGAGAGGAUGAUCAGUCACACUGGAACUGAGACACGGUUCAGACUCCUACGGGAGGCAGCAGUGGGGAAUAUUGGACAAUGGGCGAAAGCCUGAUCCAGCCAUGCCGCGUGUGUGAAGAAGGUCUUCGGAUUGUAAAGCACUUUAAGUUGGGAGGAAGGGCAGUAAGUUAAUACCUUGCUGUUUUGACGUUACCGACAGAAUAAGCACCGGCUAACUUCGUGCCAGCAGCCGCCGUAAGAC
rnacentral:rRNA from 1 species